AACCUUAAUGCUUUUAUAGAAGAAGUUUGUAAUUCACUUUUUUGAGUUCCCCUUUAAUUUCUUAUCUAUUUCUCUCUCACAUCAUACGUUAUUUUUUCUUCUUAUAUUUAGUCCAUAAAGUUUUCUCUUUCUUGAUUCUUUAUCACUUUAGACCAAAUAUUCAACUUUUCACAUAUUUUUUUCCUUUUAUUUUUGCUAU
rnacentral:lncRNA from 1 species